GCUAGGGUUGUCACUACACUGAUGCUCCCUCAACCAGAAUCUGUAAACAAGGUGUGAUGGCGUCCCCUAUGUUCAAGCCCAUCGGCUCGAAUUCCGGUGGUGUCUCGGGCGAAGGCGACAACAAGUUUGAUGUCUUCUACAAGGACCUUAAAGAAACUGAAAAGAGAGAUUCUGUGUUAACGUCAAAGCAGCAGAUUGAUCGUCUCUUACGACCUGGAGCAUCAUAUGCCAAUCUCAAUCCAUUUGAAGUGUUGCAGGUAGAUCCCAAGACUCCCAUUGAUGAAAUCAAGAAAAAAUUUAGGAGGAUGUCCAUUCUUGUCCAUCCAGACAAAAACCAGGAUGAUUCAGAAAGAGCUCAGAAAGCAUUUGAUGAAUUGACUAAAGCCUGGAGAUGUCUGGAGAACGAAAGCACACGUCAGAAAUGCUUGGAUAUAGUGGAAGAAGCCGAGGCCAUAGUAACUAAGAGGACUGAGGAGCGUAAGAAACAGUUGAAGCGUGAGGGCAAGGAUACCCGGGUUGAUGAAGAUGACCCUGAAAAAUUAAAGCGCGCUGUAUAUGUUCAAACGAUGAAACUCUUUGCUGAUAUGGAGAGAAAACGUCGACAACAAGAAACUCGCGACCAAGAAGAAAGAAAAAGAAAGAGAGAUUUAGAGAUAGAAGAGGAAGAACAGAGGAAAGCAGAAAAGGAAUGGCAAAAAAAUUUUGAGUGGCCUCUAUCACACAAGAAGCAAUGGCCUGGGACAAACAGCUAUACAAAUACUCAAAAACAGAAGUACGCGACCACAGUUCUCUACAACAACAGCUGGACACUCAUCAGCAGGACUUUUCAUUAAAAAAAAUUUGUCCAGAUGAUUGUUAUGUGCAUCAUGGCAGAAAAUGGAAUACCACAGGAACAAGCUGUGCAGUUAAGGAAUGCAAUGAAGGAGUCUCAGUGUGGAGAGUGAAUUUUGCUGACAUUGUACAGAGUUUUGAUUGGGUAACAGCAGUCCUGUAACAUAUUUUUUAUCCUGUGUACUUCAGUGUGAUCAAGGAUGGUCAUGUGUGAAGGAUAAACACAUUAACAUUUCCAAAAACUUUCAAUGUGGUGUGGAAGAUAUCACAUUGCCAGUGGUGCCUUUGCUAUGAUAGGUCCUCCGGAAGACCUCUUGCACAAAACAUUACAAAGGUCUUGCUGAUGACCAACAUACCCACAGGAAUCGAGAGUAAACCGUGUUAAUAGCUGGAAGGACUUCCAGAAGGGAAAAUCUGCGAAAAAAUUCAAAGGGUUCAAGCCCCCAAAGCAUAAGGCCGAGGCAAGAGAUUAGCAAGAUAUGUUAGGAACUUUCCUGUGUUAAGCUUUCGUUCUUGACUUGGUGGUGUGAAUCCAAGAAAGUCAUUACAAAUAUCAGUAUCACCAACAUACUGUUAUGAGCUGCUCUUGGGUGUGACGUACAUUAUAAGUAUUUAACAUUAAUAUUAGUGAAGAUUGUACUUUUCCAGUGUUCCAGUGGUGACUUUUUAAUUCAUUUUCAUGGUUUACUAUUAUUAAUGAAAGAGUCAAUAAAGUAUUGAACAAACACCAUUGGGGAGAAAUUGUUUUAAUUAUAAAUUUUCACAAGGAACUUAAUGAUAAUACGAAAAUCAAUAAACAUUAAUUUGUUGCGUUAGAGUCCACUCGCUCAAUAAAUUCUAAUUACUGUACCAUAAUUAGAAAUGGUAUAGGAAAUUUUCUUAGACCUUUUUUAUACAAAAAUGCUAGUUUAAAUCGUGCGAUGUUAUUUGCCAAUUUAAAUUAGCAAUUAAUAACUUAUCUGAUACCUUCCAAUAACAAAAUAUUUUGUGUGUGAAACAUUCUCUUUUCAUCGAAGAUAAUUCUUCGACGUUCUCAGCAGUUGGGAAGCUAAGACAGCAAGACAUCUCGUUUUAUCUUUCGUAUGCAACCAAAUUCUGUUUCAUAAUUGGCAAACUAUGUAUGUAUAAUAAAUUUUGCUUGUUUUGUGAGACCAGUUG